rnacentral:lncRNA from 10 species
CAGCGCUCGGGCUGAGUGUGGCGCGAUCCUUUUCUCCAGAAGCCUGGCUACUGAAGAGAGAACUUCACACUUACAUAAGAGGAAAAAGAAGCCAGAGGAUGGAGUGUCACCUCAUCUGGUCAUCUUUUCUUGCCCUGUUAGAAUCAAGACAGCAGAGCAUAGCAAGCUUCAGAUGGCUUGUCUGGCUGGUCUGAGUCUCUUUAGGAUUAAAUGAGGCCUCUGUUGAUGGAGAUCCUUUGUUUCACUAUUAGCAUUAGGCUAAUAAGUUUCAGUAUUUUCUAAACCCCGUUUUAGGGUAUGUCUCCUGGUUGUUGGUGAUGUUGAAUUACAGGGUGUCCUACAGAGAGUAGCAGAAAUGUAGCUGUGUCUUCCAAGUAUUUGCUAUGAGUCCUCAGUGGCAGAUGUCUGUGAGCUGUAGCAUAAGAUGCAUUCAUGUAACAAAUAUCUAUUGCGUGCCUGCCGCAUGUGAAUACAAGGCGAAAGGUCCCUGCUUUCAUGAAAUUUCAUUGUAUUUCAUUGUAUUAAUUUCAUUGAAAGUAAUAAUCAAUUUCAAAUAAGGAUGAUUUGGCCUUGCACUUGAAAGAAGCAAAACAAGAUCAUGUUUACAGUGCCUGGGGGUGGAGAGGGGAGGAACAUUCUAUAGUUGUUGACUGGCUGAGUUGGGGUCAGGUGAUCCCAGCAGAAGUGGGCUGAUUCAUCAAAGAUCAAUUCAUUGAAAGUCAUUUUGCCAAAUAAUCAAUUCAGUGAUUUAGCAGAAUUUUCCAGAUUUACCAACUUACCAAAAAUGGCAUUUUAUGGCUUAAUCUUCUUGAUUUAGAUUCAAUGAAUAAGAAUACAGUCAUCUGAAUUUUUUCGGACAUAUAAGAAAAUACACUUUUUUUUUUUGAGAUGGAGUCUCACUGUCACCCAGGCUGGAAUGCAGUGAUUUGAUCUCAGCUCUCUGCAAACUCCGCCUCCUAGGUACAAGUGGUUCUUCUGCCUCAGCCUCCCGAGUAGCUGGGAAUACAUGUGUGCACCACCACGCCUGGCUAAUUUUUGUAUUUUUAGUAGAGACGGAGUUUUGCCAUGUUGACCAGGCUGGUCUUGAAUUCCUGACCUCCCACCUUGGCGUCCCAAAGUGCUGGGAUUACAGAUGUGAGCCACCGUGCCCGGCCCCUUCCAGUUCUUUUUCUACACAUAUACAUUAAUGUAUAGAAAAAAAUAUAUAUAUGUCAG